AGCUCGUCGUUUUCAUUGUGUUCGGGCUAUUAAACAGUGUCGUCUAUUCCUUUGGUCUAUUGGGUUUUUGACAAUCGAUUUAAUUGCACCAUCGCAGGUGUUUUACAAUCUCAAAAUUUUCGUACAUAUUUCGCCAUUUUGUCAAGUAUGUUAAAAGUGUUAAGUUAUGGACUGUUUGUUUUAUUUAAAAAACAAUGCUAAUAUCAAAUGUACUAUUUGUCGAAAUCGUCACAUUAAUGAUACGUGAAAUGCUAAAUAUCUAAAAUGAUUUUGAGACGUCACUACGUUAAGGAUUGGCCCAAGUGCGUUAUUGACUAAAGCCAAUUCGUAAAUUUUCGAGAAGCAUAACACCACAUCACAAAAUUGAAGUGAUAAAGAUUAUAUAUACGCAGUGAGAACAUUGAAGAAUUGACUAUGCAGCUAUAGUUAUUGAGUUAUUAUAUUGGCAUCUGCUGAAUUCAUAAAAUGAAUUUAUUUUUUCUUUUUCAGUAGGGAUUUUUGCA
rnacentral:misc_RNA from 1 species